rnacentral:lncRNA from 1 species
UUCAAGCACCAAGGUGAGAUCUUUUCCUUCCUGUGUUUGUCUGUCCUCAUUUUUUUUUUCAUUUUUCACUUUGCUGUUGAUUUAAUCUUUUCUGGAGUUUUUCCAUAUACAUUUCAGUUUCUUCAGCAACCGGUAGUGUAAGUGGAAUGGGAUUUUCGUUGAUAUCCAUCUUUUUUUCAGCAUCAAGGUGAAAUCUUUUCCUUCCUUGGUUCUCAUUGUUGUUUUCAUUGUUUAUUUUUUUUGCUGAUAAAAUCUUUAAUGGUGUUUUUUGUGUUUAUUUCAUAAAUCUCAUACAUGUGUUUAUUUUCUUUUAGGAUCUUUAUCUUAAGGCCAAAAAAGCUUCUGUUAAAUUUGGUUGUGGAUGGAGGAAAUUUUGUCAGAUACAAGUACUGUGUGAAGACCACAAACUGAUCUUUGAAAGUGGACUAACCCCAAUUCAUAUGAUGGUGUUGUUAGUGCUUCAAAAUUCAAUAUUGUAUUCA